AGUGAACGCUGGCGGUAGGCCUAACACAUGCAAGUCGAACGGCAGCACAGUAAGAGCUUGCUCUUACGGGUGGCGAGUGGCGGACGGGUGAGGAAUACAUCGGAAUCUACUUUUUCGUGGGGGAUAACGUAGGGAAACUUACGCUAAUACCGCAUACGACCUACGGGUGAAAGCAGGGGAUCUUCGGACCUUGCGCGAUUGAAUGAGCCGAUGUCGGAUCAGCUAGUUGGCGGGGUAAAGGCCCACCAAGGCGACGAUCCGUAGCUGGUCUGAGAGGAUGAUCAGCUACACUCGAUUUGCGCCACGGUCCAGACUACUACGGAGGGCAGCAUUGGGGAUUAUUGGACAAUGGGCGCAAGCCUGAUCCAGCCAUACCGCAUGGGUGAAGAAGGCCUUCGGGUUGUAAAGCCCUUUUAUUAGGAAAGAAAAGCAGCAGGUUAAUACCCCGCUGUUCUGACGGUACCCAAAGAAUAAGCACCGGCUAACUUCGUG
rnacentral:rRNA from 1 species